CAGCAUUCUAGCCCGCCAUACUCGUUACCAUGAACCUGCAUGCAUGAUGCAGAGGAGAUGUUAGACAGAGGACGACGAAGCAGAUGACAGGUGGGAAAAAACACACUGGACCCGUCGUCCUGUUACCUGCUUCGUCGUCCCCAGACUGAAAUUAACGUUGCCCGUUACAAGCUUAUACCAGUGUGAAUGCAUCAUUUACCUGCCUCCAGCAUACCCGUCCAGCGACAUGUGCGGUCCGAAACAUCUCAACGUGCCAAAUACUGAAUCAAAACUCCCGAAAAAGUCGCCACAGCGUACUAAUAGGUAAACUUAUCGUCAUCAAGCCAGGACUUGCAUCUUAUGUCAGUUAUCAACCUUCUUCGCCGUGCCGUCGACGAUUUUUGAAAGUCGCAGAGUUCGCAAUUCCAGUGAUAGGCGUCAGUGGGUGGAGUUGGUGGGUGGAAGGGGGAGGGGGCAAGACCGGAGCUUUGCGCCCGCCCCCUCCUGUUCUGACGUUCCUGACUGUGCCUGUGACUGUGCCGGUACCAAAGUAUGCGAGUCCCUGUGUCUAUUGAAGUUCAAGUUAACAUGUGGAACUUUCACUAAUUGUUAGUUAAUUAUGAAACUCAACAAAUUAUGUUGUAACUUUACAACCUAUGUUGUAAAUUUCAGAGGUCAAUACAUACACCUGCACAAAAUGCUAUGCAAGA